rnacentral:misc_RNA from 1 species
GUGAGUCAUCGAAUCUUUGAACGCACCUUGCACCCUUUGGUAUUCCGAAGGGUACGCCCGUUUGAGUGUCAUUGUAAUCUCACACCGAUCACUUUGGUGAUUGGAGGUGGACUUGGACCUUGCUGUGUCAUUAUGGCUGGUCUGAAAUGCGUGAGUGUACCCUGCCUUUGCAGCGUCUUCAGUGUGAUAAGCAUCUUCACUGGAACCAAGCUCCUUCGGGACACGUGAGCAUGGUGGGCUCUAUGCUGCCAACCGUCCUUGGACAUACUCUGACAAUUUGACCUCAAAUCGGGUGGGACUACCCGCUGAACUUAAGCAUAUCAAUAAGCGGAGGA